rnacentral:lncRNA from 1 species
CAUAUUUUGGCGUUAAUAUUGAGUCACUGAUAAGGUCUUUGCAUCGGAACUAAACACAUUAUUUUUUUUUUUUAAAACAGUUGUUGGCAUGACAUGGGUUAUGUUCUUCUCAUAUAUGUUAUGAUGGUAUGAUACUAAACCCCUAACGGGAAGGAUUGUGCCUGAUGUUCAUAUGAUGAAAUCAUAAUCUUUCAGUCAGUUUAAUUGAAGUCUGGAGCUGGCAUGUCAGUUAACUGCUAGUAGUCUGUUGUUAUUUAUGUAUUAUUGUCAUUUUGUUUAUUUUCUUUGGUUACAUCUUCUGACAUCAGACUCGGAUUUCUCUUGAACUGAAUUUUAAUGUGCGUAUUGUUAUGCGUUUACUUUACUACAUUGGUUAGAG